rnacentral:rRNA from 1 species
GUUUGAUCACGGCUCAGAACGAACGCUGGCGGCGUGCCUAACACAUACAAGUCGAACGAGAAGUACGUAGCAAUACGUAUUGUAAAGUGGCGCACGGGUGAGUAACACGUGGGUAAUCUGCCCUUGAGUUUGGGAUAACCCCGCGAAAGCGGGGCUAAUACCGAAUAAGACCACGGGGACCAAAGUCCCUGAGGUAAAAGACGGCCUCUAUUUAUAAGCUGUCACUUGAGGAUGAGCCCGCGGCCCAUUAGCUAGUUGGCAGGGUAACGGCCUACCAAGGCGAUGAUGGGUAGCUGGUCUGAGAGGACGAUCAGCCACACUGGAACUGAGACACGGUCCAGACUCCUACGGGAGGCAGCAGUGGGGAAUAUUGCGCAAUGGGCGAAAGCCUGACGCAGCAACGCCGCGUGGGGGAUGAAGGUUCUCGGAUUGUAAACCCCUUUCGAUCGGAACGAAUCUCCUCCUGGUAAAUAAUCAGGAGGAUCGACGGUACCGGGAGAAGAAGCCACGGCUAACUCUGUGCCAGCAGCCGCGGUAAGACAGAGGUGGCGAGCGUUGUUCGGAUUUAUUGGGCGUAAAGCGAACGCAGGUGGUUUGGUAAGUCAGAGGUGAAAGACCACAGCUUAACUGUGGCACUGCCUUCGAUACUGCCUUUCUAGAGUGCAUGAGGGGGAAGCGGAAUUCCGAGUGUAGAGGUGAAAUUCGUAGAUAUUCGGAGGAACACCGGUGGCGAAGGCGGCUUCCUGGCAUGUAACUGACACUCAUGUUCGAAAGCGUGGGUAGCAAACAGGAUUAGAUACCCUGGUAGUCCACGCCCUAAACGAUGGGCACUAGGUGUGGGAGGUAUCGACCCCUUCCGUGCCGCAGCUAACGCAUUAAG